GAACUGCGAUAAGUAAUGUGAAUUGCAGAAUUCAGUGAAUCAUCGAGUCUUUGAACGCACAUUGCGCCCCCUGGCAUUCCGGGGGGCAUGCCUGUCCGAGCGUCAUUGCUGCCCUUCAAGCCCGGCUUGUGUGUUGGGUCGUCGUCCCCUCCGGGGGACGGGCCCGAAAGGCAGCGGCGGCACCGCGUCCGGUCCUCGAGCGUAUGGGGCCUUGUCACCCGCUCGAUAAGGACCGGCCGGGCGCCAGCCGGCGUCUCCAACCUUUUUUUCUCAGGUUGACCUCGGAUCAGGUAGGGAUACCCGCUGAACUUAAGC
rnacentral:misc_RNA from 1 species